GAGUUUGAUCAUGGCUCAGGAUGAACGCUGGCGGCGUGCCUAAUACAUGCAAGUCGAACGAACAGAUAAGGAGCUUGCUCCUUUGACGUUAGCGGCGGACGGGUGAGUAACACGUGGGUAACCUACCUAUAAGACUGGAAUAACUCCGGGAAACCGGGGCUAAUGCCGGAUAACAUGUUGAACCGCAUGGUUCUACAGUGAAAGACGGUCUUGCUGUCACUUAUAGAUGGACCCGCGCCGUAUUAGCUAGUUGGUGGGGUAACGGCCUACCAAGGCGACGAUACGUAGCCGACCUGAGAGGGUGAUCGGCCACACUGGAACUGAGACACGGUCCAGACUCCUACGGGAGGCAGCAGUAGGGAACCUUCCGCAAUGGGCGAAAGCCUGACGGAGCAACGCCGCGUGAGUGAUGAGGGUCUUCGGAUCGUAAAGCUCUGUUGUUAGGGAAGAACAAAUGUGUAAGUAACUGUGCAUAUCUUGACGGUACCUAACCAGAAAGCCACGGCUAACUACGUGCCAGCCGCCGCCGUAAG
rnacentral:rRNA from 1 species